rnacentral:rRNA from 1 species
CAGGCCUAACACAUGCAAGUCGAACGGUAGCACAGAGGGCUUGCUCUUGGGUGACGAGUGGCGGACGGGUGAGUAAUGUCUGGGAAACUGCCCGAUGGAGGGGGAUAACUACUGGAAACGGUAGCUAAUACCGCAUAACGUCUUCGGACCAAAGUGGGGGACCUUCGGGCCUCACACCAUCGGAUGUGCCCAGAUGGGAUUAGCUAGUAGGUGGGGUAACGGCUCACCUAGGCGACGAUCCCUAGCUGGUCUGAGAGGAUGACCAGCCACACUGGAACUGAGACACGGUCCAGACUCCUACGGGAGGCAGCAGUGGGGAAUAUUGCACAAUGGGCGCAAGCCUGAUGCAGCCAUGCCGCGUGUAUGAAGAAGGCCUUCGGGUUGUAAAGUACUUUCAGUGGGGAGGAAGGCGAAGAGGUUAAUAACCUUUUCGAUUGACGUUACCCGCAGAAGAAGCACCGGCUAACUCCGUGCCAGCAGCCGCGGUAAU